rnacentral:rRNA from 1 species
GACGAACGCUGGCGGCGUGCUUAACACAUGCAAGUCGAACGGAAAGGCCCUGCUUUUGUGGGGUGCUCGAGUGGCGAACGGGUGAGUAACACGUGAGUAACCUGCCCUUGACUUUGGGAUAACUUCAGGAAACUGGGGCUAAUACCGGAUAGGAGCUCCUGCUGCAUGGUGGGGGUUGGAAAGUUUCGGCGGUUGGGGAUGGACUCGCGGCUUAUCAGCUUGUUGGUGGGGUAGUGGCUUACCAAGGCUUUGACGGGUAGCCGGCCUGAGAGGGUGACCGGCCACAUUGGGACUGAGAUACGGCCCAGACUCCUACGGGAGGCAGCAGUGGGGAAUAUUGCACAAUGGGCGGAAGCCUGAUGCAGCAACGCCGCGUGCGGGAUGACGGCCUUCGGGUUGUAAACCGCUUUCGCCUGUGACGAAGCGUGAGUGACGGUAAUGGGUAAAGAAGCACCGGCAACUACGUG